rnacentral:rRNA from 1 species
AUUGAACGCUGGCGGCAUGCUUUACACAUGCAAGUCGAACGGUAACAGGCCGCAAGGUGCUGACGAGUGGCGAACGGGUGAGUAAUGCAUCGGAACGUGCCCAGUCGUGGGGGAUAACGCAGCGAAAGCUGUGCUAAUACCGCAUACGAUCUAUGGAUGAAAGCGGGGGACCGUAAGGCCUCGCGCGAUUGGAGCGGCCGAUGGCAGAUUAGGUAGUUGGUGGGGUAAAGGCCUACCAAGCCAACGAUCUGUAGCUGGUCUGAGAGGACGACCAGCCACACUGGGACUGAGACACGGCCCAGACUCCUACGGGAGGCAGCAGUGGGGAAUUUUGGACAAUGGGCGCAAGCCUGAUCCAGCAAUGCCGCGUGCAGGAAGAAGGCCUUCGGGUUGUAAACUGCUUUUGUACGGAACGAAACGGUCUGGGUUAAUACCCUGGACUAAUGACGGUACCGUAAGAAUAAGCACCGGCUAACUACGUGCCAGCAGCCGCAGUAAUAC